rnacentral:rRNA from 1 species
AUUGAACGCUGGCGGCAGGCCUAACACAUGCAAGUCGAACGGAGCGGCGGACGGGUGGGUAAUGCCUAGGAAUCUGCCUGGUAGUGGGGGAUAACGUCCGGCAACGGGCGCUAAUACCGCAUGCUCUCAGUUGCACCUGGGUGGGAUUAGCUAGUUGGUGGGGUAAGUGCCUACCAAGGCGACGAUCCGUAACUGGUCUGAGAGGAUGAUCAGUCACACUGGAACUGAGACACGGUCCAGACUCCUACGGGAGGCAGCAGUGGGGAAUAUUGGACAAUGGGCGAAAGCCUGAUCCAGCCAUGCCGCGUGUGUGAAGAAGGUCUUCGGAUUGUAAAGUACUUUAAGUUGGGAGGCGUUACCAACAGAAUAAGCACCGGCUAACUCCGUGCCAGCAGCCGCGGUAAUUC